AGUCUGGAUAGUUCAGUUGGUUAGAGCAUGGUGCUGAUAACCCAAGGUUGCAGGUUCAAUCCCUGUAUGUGCCAACUG